GCUAGGAUCAGUGGGAGUGGCUCUACCCCACGUGUCUCUCAUCUUUCCCUUCCUGGGACCGGCAGAACACUGCCAGCAUGCUCCUCUCCCAAAGCAGCAGAGCAUAAGAGGAACAGAACCAACCUGUGAGGCCACUGAAGGUCUAGGCUUGGAAAAGGCAUCUGCACUUUGCCACAGGUCAGUCUGUGGCCAGAACAAAGUCGAGUGGUGGGGGUGAGGCUGCGGUGAGGGUGUGGGGCACAGAGGAGUGAAGAACUACGGCCACCAGAGCAACCUAGUACAGGCCACUGCCGGACGGGGGUGGCUCUGUUCUUCGAGUUGGGACACGCGGGCGGAGAAGUGGGCUCGGGGAAGAUGGUGUGAUGGGUCUUCUGUGGAUGUCUGCAUGGAGACAUGGAGCAAACUGUUGGAUAUUGGCCCCCAGCUUGGAAAAGAAGUCUGGGCCGAUGACAAUGGUUUGGGAAUUAUCGGCAGCUACCAACAAUGGAAGGGGCCUAGAGCGUGCGGAAAGGACUCAGCAUGGGACAGCUGGAGACCCCCAGAGGGAAGUGCAAAGGCCAAGCCAAAAGAGACCACGAGAGAGGGGUGUGGUGGAAGCCAAAGGGAGAACCUUCCCAGGAGGCAAUUCUCAACAGGGUCAAAGCUGCAUGGAAACUUAUCCCCAGUUUAGCCGUCAGAAGGUAGGACAAAUUCUUCAUCAGGUCAGUGGGAAGCUGUUACAAGUGAAAAUAAAUCUUUGGAACUGUCGUCCUGAGGGCCACCCUCACAAGAGUUGGUUUGUCCAGGUUUGAGGGUGAGAGGUGGGUCCUGCUAAGCAAAUAGAUAAAUAACUCAUGCAACUGAAGUUAAGAUUUUUUAAAGCUGAUUUUGCGUUUACACCUGAAGGAAAGUUUGGUGGACUUUGGUAUUGAAGCAAAAGUGGACUUUUUACCAAGAGUGGACGCUUCUGCUAUGUAUGCUUGUCCCUGCCUCAGAAGCAAAUCUGAUUUUAGAAAGCUGGUUGGUGUAGCUCCCUUCCCUGUGUCUGAUUUGACCCCAUUCCUCCCUUGGCACCUGUCUUUCCCCCACUGCCUGGACAUUCCAGGCAGAUCAUUAAACCCGGUACCACUGUGUACACAAAAGAUAGUUCCAGAAAGUCAUACUCCAAGUUGUUAGCUACUAUCUGUGGGAGCGGGGUUUAGAAAUGGGUGGCUAGGAGGUGACUUCUGCAUUUUAAUUAAAUCUGUAUUGUUCACCUUUUCACUUGUGGACUAGAAGAAUAAAGAACAAAAACUCAGAGAACAAAGCAGCAAUAGCGGGGGGAUCUCAAGAUGCUUAGGACUUUUAAAUCAGUCUCUUGUAUAAUUACGGAUCCAAGAGUACGUCAAACUACAACACACUAUUUAGGAAGCAGGAGAAUGAAAACAUCCUUAUUGGAAUCUGAAGGAUCUACUCAGAGUCCAGUAGCCAUCAGCCCAGCAGUCCUAACACCUGCUUCCUGGUUGGGCUUGCAAACAGUUCUUUGGGACACGGAGUCACCCGAGGCUCAGCCCAAAGGUUAUCUACCACCUCCUGUUCCAGCAUCUCGAAGGUUUGAGGUACAAGACGUGCAAGGAGUACAAGGCGUUUCCUCUGGGAUGGGAGUUCCGGCUCCAUUUUAAAGUGGCUCCAUUCACUCUGUCGUCACUAUUUUUUACAAGGGAUUGCUGAGUCCCAGGGUGGUGCCCCUGCAGGUCACUGUGGCCGUGCCUGAGCUGCAGCUCUCCACCAGCUGGGUGAACUUGGGGACCUGCUUGGUGAAGCAGGGGCGGGUCUGGGAGGUCUACCUGUUGCACUUGAGUGGUUCCUAGAGCUACUGGACUGUGCUGAUGGCUGUGUCACACUCUCCUGUCUGCCCACUGGCUCCUCUGUGUGGCUGGGCUGGACCUCCAGGAAGGAGCCUGUGUGUCCUGUCCCCGCAAGCUGGCACCACCUGGGAAUUCCUGAAGACAUGCCAGUUCACCAGUCCCGGGGGAUCCCCAGGCAUCCAGAAGGCCAAGGGAGGUCCCAAGACCCCCUUAAAGAAAAACAAUGUGGAAGAACUCACUCUCCUGGAUUUUAAGACUUUGAUACACCACAGUACCCAAGACAAUGUGGUAUGGGCACAAGAAUGACAUACCAAGAAAAGUGGGGGAGGGGAGAACAUCUUUUUAACAAGGGACCCUGGAAAAAUUAGGCACUCAUAUUUUUUUUUAAAGAAGAAAAAUUUGUAAAAAAAAAAAACCUAAAUGAAAUAAAUGGCAAACUAAAGGGGCAAGAAGAUAUUUGCAACAUGUAUAACUGACAAUAAACUUGUAAAGAACAUGUAAUGUACUCCUGC